CUCACAUCUGUAAUCCCAGAAUUUUGGGAGGCCAAGGCAGGUGGAUCACAAGGUCAGGAGAUUGAGACCAUCCUGGCCAACAUGGUGAAAUCCCAUCUCUACUAAAAUGCAAAAAAAAAAAUUAGCCAGGCAUGUUGGCACAUGCCUGUCCUCCCAGCUACUUGUGAGGCUGAGACGGGAAUUGAUUAAACCCAGGAGGCAGAGGUUGCAGGGAGCCGAGAUCAUGCCAUUGCACUCCAGCCUGGAUGACAGAGCAAGACUCCAUCUAAAAAAAAAAAAAAAGGGUGGGCACCGGACCUGGGAGGCUCAUGGCUAUAAGCCAAACAAAAAGAAACUUUGGGAUGCCCGGAGUGCCAGGUGGCGGCAAGCGGUGGACUUUUCUGCAGGGCCUUUAGGAUUUGCAGCUCCAGGAAGCGAGAUGUCGAAGCCGCCACCCAAACCAGUCAAACCAGGGCCAGUUAGUCUUCAGAGCGCUGUGUACGUUUGAAUCCAGAACUCCAGAUGAAGUAUACUUUGAGGAAGGUGAUAUUAUCUACAUUACUGACAUGAGCGAUACCAGUUGGCAGAAGGGCACCUCCAAAGGCAGGACUGGACUAAUUCCAAGCAACUAUGUGGCUGAGCAGGCAGAAUCCGUCAACAAUCCAUUGCAUGAAGCAGCAGAAAGAGGCAACUUGAGCUGGUUGAGAGAAUGUUUGGGCAACAGAGUGGGCGUUAAUGGCUUAAAGUGGGCGUUAUGGCUUAGACAAAGCUGGAAGCACUGCCCUUAUACUGGGCUUGCCGUGGAGGUCACAAAGAUAUAGUGGAAAUGCUAUUUACUCAACCAAAUAUUGAACUGAACCAGCAGAACGAGUUGGGAGACACAGCUUUGCAUGCUGCUGCCUGGAAGGGUUAUGCAGAUAUUGUCCAGUUGCUUCUGGCAAAAGGUGCUAGAACAGACUUAAGAGAAGACGCUGGCCUUCGACAUGGCUGCCAAUGCUGCCUGUGCGUCUCUCCCGAAAAAGAAACGGAACGGAUGCAGUCCGAACAUUAAGCAAUGCUGAGGACUGUCUGCGUGAUGAAGACUCAGGUUCAUUCCUUUCUGGAGCUUUGAGAGCUAAAACUUCUGUUGCUUUUGCCAUUCCAAAACUUUGUCUUUGCCAGGAGAGUGUUGGUAACUCUAAGCAAAGUAUAUAUGAACACAGCAAUAUUGCACUAUGUUUGAGUAGAGAGUGUAAAUGAAUUGUUCUGACCUUUGGUUUGCCAAUAAGUGACUGGAUUCUUGGCCGUGGGAAAUACAUUUACGUUCACCAGAGUAGAACAAGAAGAGAUUAUUUCUAUUUAUCAAGCUAAAGGAAUUUUAAGAUUUUUUUCCUUUAAAACAAAUCAGGAUUUUUUUUUUAUUUAGUUAAAGUGCUUUACCUCAAGGGUUGAGAUAUUUUGAAUGGAUUUUUCAAGGGCGGGAAAUGCUUAUUAUAAUUAUAAACCAAAAUACUUAACAGAAAGUCAUCAGCUAUUCUGACAAAAAUAAACAUUUUGAGAGACUUUAAAAAAAAUCUUGGCCAAGCGCGGUGGCUCGCGCCUAUAAUCCCAGCACUUUGGGAGGCCAAGACAGGUGGAUCACGAGGUCAAGAGGUCGAGAGCCUCCUGGUCAACAAGGUGAAACCCUGUCUCUACUAAAAAUACAAAAAUUAGCUGGGCAUGGUGGUACGUGCCUGUAAUCCCAGCUACUUGGGAGGCUGAGGCAGGAGAAUUGCUUGAACCCAGGAGGCGGAGGUUGAGGUGAGCCAAGAUUGUGCCACUGCACUCCAGUCUGGGUAACAACAGCAAAACUCCGUCUCAAAAAAAAAAAAAAAAAAAAUCUUAAUAAAUAUCCAAUCUUUUUUUUUUUUUUUUUUGAGCUGGAGUCUCACUCUGUCCCCUAGGCUGGAGUGCAGUGGCAUGAUCUCAGCUCCCUGCAACCUCUACCUCCAGAUUCAAGCGAUUCCCCCACCUCAGCCUUCCCAGUAGCUGGGAUUAUAGGCACGCAGUACCAUGCCCAGCUAUUUUGUAUUUUAGUAGAGAUAGGGUUUCACCAUGUUAGCCAGGCUGGUCUCCAACUCCUGACCUCAAGUGAUCCACCCGCUUCAGCCUCCCAAACUGCUGGGAUUACAGGUAUGAGCCACCAUAUCCAGCCUAUCCAAUAAUUUUUUUUUUUUGAGAUGGAAUUUCACUCUUGCUGCCCAGGCGAGAUUGACUCCCUGCAACCUCCGCCUCCUGGGUUCAAGCGAUUCUCCUGCCUCAGCCUCCUGAGACAUGCACCUGUAGUUUCAGCUACUCGGGAGGCUGAGGUGGAAGAAUCCCUGGAACCUGGGAGAUGGAGGCUGCAGUGAGAGGAGAUCAUGGCACUGCACUCCAGCCUGGACAACAGAGUGAGACUUUGUCUCCAAAUAAUAAUAAAAAUAAAAUAAAAUGCAAAACCCAAGGCUAACUUCUCAGGCAUACACACAGUUCCCUACUUCCAAAGUACCUGUGAGCCAGGCGCAGUGGCUCACACCUGUAAUCCAAGCUACUCUGGAAGCUGAGGCAGGAGGAUUGCUUGAGCCCAGGAGGUUGGACCUGCAGUGAGCCAUCAUGGCACCACUAUACUCCAGCCUGGGCGACAGAGCAAGACCCUGUCUCAAAAAAAAAAUACUUGGCCAGGAAUGGUGGCUCAUUUCUGUAAUCCCAACACUUUGGGAGGCCAAGGUGGAUGGAUCACCUGAGGUCAGGAGUUCAUGACCAGCCUGAUCAACAUGGCAAAACCCUAUCUCUACUAAAAAUACAAAAAGUAGCUGGGUGUGGUGGCGCACACCUAUAAUCCCAGCUACUGGGAGGCUGAGGCAGAAGAAUCUCUUGAAUCCAGAAGGCAGAGGUUGCGGUGAGCCAAGAUCACACCAUUGCACUCCAGCCUGGGUGACAGAGCAAAACUCCAUCUCAAAAAAAAAAAAAAAACCCACCACCCAAGGUACCUGUCUCUCCAAAGGACAAAACGAAAUGCUCUUUCAAGGGCUCUGUUACUCAGUCAACAGACAAACUUUUACUACUAAGCACUUACUAUGUGCCAAGCUAAGUGGUAAGUGUGGCAGACGUGAGAGCUCGUCAUCCUGGGUUCGAGAGUCAGGCAGACACCCCACAUCAGUCCCACUAGUGUGGUAUGCACAAGUUGAGGUGAACACAGCCCGGGGACAUCUGGUCCCUGUGGCCUACCUGUUACCAGCCCUCAGCCACCCCCAGUUUGUCUCUGUCUCCUCAGACUGUAUCCAGGGUGGGGAAAAGAGAGGGGCCAGGGGGUCCCAUCUCUGUGCCCCCCCACCCACCCAUCUCCACUUCUG